AUCCAGAUGGUACAGUGGUUAGGAUUUGGCACUUUCACUGCCAUGGCCUGGGUUCAAUUCCCAGUCAGGGAA